UUAAAUUGAAGAGUUUGAUCAUGGCUCAGAUUGAACGCUGGCGGCAGGCCUAACACAUGCAAGUCGAACGGUAACAGGAAGCAGCUUGCUGCUUUGCUGACGAGUGGCGGACGGGUGAGUAAUGUCUGGGAAACUGCCUGAUGGAGGGGGAUAACUACUGGAAACGGUGGCUAAUACCGCAUAACGUCGCAAGACCAAAGAGGGGGACCUUCGGGCCUCUUGCCAUCAGAUGUGCCCAGAUGGGAUUAGCUGGUUGGUGAGGUAACGGCUCACCAAGGCGACGAUCCCUAGCUGGUCUGAGAGGAUGACCAGCCACACUGGAACUGAGACACGGUCCAGACUCCUACGGGAGGCAGCAGUGGGGAAUAUUGCACAAUGGGCGCAAGCCUGAUGCAGCCAUGCCGCGUGUAUGAAGAAGGCCUUCGGGUUGUAAAGUACUUUCAGCGGGGAGGAAGGUGUUGCGGUUAAUAACCGCAGCAAUUGACGUUACCCGCAGAAGAAGCACCGGCUAACUCCGUGCCAGCAGCCGCGGUAAUACGGAGGGUGCAAGCGUUAAUCGGAAUUACUGGGCGUAAAGCGCACGCAGGCGGUCUGUCAAGUCGGAUGUGAAAUCCCCGGGCUCAACCUGGGAACUGCAUUCGAAACUGGCAGGCUUGAGUCUUGUAGAGGGGGGUAGAAUUCCAGGUGUAGCGGUGAAAUGCGUAGAGAUCUGGAGGAAUACCGGUGGCGAAGGCGGCCCCCUGGACAAAGACUGACGCUCAGGUGCGAAAGCGUGGGGAGCAAACAGGAUUAGAUACCCUGGUAGUCCACGCCGUAAACGAUGUCUACUUGGAGGUUGUGCCCUUGAGGCGUGGCUUCCGGAGCUAACGCGUUAAGUAGACCGCCUGGGGAGUACGGCCGCAAGGUUAAAACUCAAAUGAAUUGACGGGGGCCCGCACAAGCGGUGGAGCAUGUGGUUUAAUUCGAUGCAACGCGAAGAACCUUACCUGGUCUUGACAUCCACAGAACUUUCCAGAGAUGGAUUGGUGCCUUCGGGAACUGUGAGACAGGUGCUGCAUGGCUGUCGUCAGCUCGUGUUGUGAAAUGUUGGGUUAAGUCCCGCAACGAGCGCAACCCUUAUCCUUUGUUGCCAGCGAUUAGGUCGGGAACUCAAAGGAGACUGCCAGUGAUAAACUGGAGGAAGGUGGGGAUGACGUCAAGUCAUCAUGGCCCUUACGACCAGGGCUACACACGUGCUACAAUGGCGCAUACAAAGAGAAGCGACCUCGCGAGAGCAAGCGGACCUCAUAAAGUGCGUCGUAGUCCGGAUUGGAGUCUGCAACUCGACUCCAUGAAGUCGGAAUCGCUAGUAAUCGUGGAUCAGAAUGCCACGGUGAAUACGUUCCCGGGCCUUGUACACACCGCCCGUCACACCAUGGGAGUGGGUUGCAAAAGAAGUAGGUAGCUUAACCUUCGGGAGGGCGCUUACCACUUUGUGAUUCAUGACUGGGGUGAAGUCGUAACAAGGUAACCGUAGGGGAACCUGCGGUUGGAUCACCUCCUUACCUUAAAGAA
rnacentral:rRNA from 1 species